rnacentral:rRNA from 1 species
GACGACGCUGGCGGCGUGCUUAACACAUGCAAGUCGAACGAGUGGCGAACGGGUGAGUAACGCGUAUCAACCUGCCCUUCAGAGGGGGACAACUACUGGAAACGGUGGCUAAUACCGCAUACUGUCGGAUGAACCCAUAUGGGUUUAGCUAGUAGGUAAGGUAAUGGCUUACCUAGGCGACGAUCCCUAGCUGGUCUGAGAGGAUGAUCAGCCACACUGGGACUGAGACACGGCCCAGACUCCUACGGGAGGCAGCAGGGGGGAAUAUUGCACAAUGGGCGCAAGCCUGAUGCAGCCAUGCCGCGUGUAUGAAGAAGGCCCUAGGGUUGUAAAGUACUUUAAGCGAGGAGGCGUUACUCGCAGAAUAAGCACCGGCUAACUCUGUGCCAGCAGCCGCGGUAAUAC